UCCUCCUCACAGCAAUUCUCGCGAAACUCUCCGCUGCGGGCUAGAGGCGGCAAAGGAAAUAUCGCGAGACUUCACUCGACCCGUUGUCAAGGUUACCGGCGGGAAUGCGCGAUGCCGGCUCUGCUCCUCAAGGCCGUUCCUCCCCACAGUCCCCGGCCGCAAAAGGGCUGUUCUUCCCCGCAGUGCCCGGCUCCGAAGCUCCGGCCCCUCCUGGACCCCAUCUUUUCAUCCAGAGCUCCUGCUUUGCCCUUGUGAGGCCUCAGAUCUAUCAGGCAGCAUCCUCAUCCCCUCACAGGCCUUCACCAGGGCAUACCUCACAGAGCUGCUCCCCUCAGGGCUCCCACCUCUAGUUCGGCCCUCAUUCUAAGAUGCGUAAUGCCUGCUGCUGAGCCUUUCGAGCACACCCUGGCUGUAGGUGGAUGACUCCAUGCUGGAAGCCCCUCCAGGAACUGCAACAGAAAGUAGGAUGGCCACAACUGUAGUUACAUACAGGGGGCUUUCUGCCAGCUGAGAUCUCCACACUGCAAAUUGCAGCUUACCAGGAAGAGCUUGCUCCUACAUCUUAAUAAACAAACAAAAACAUUCCCUUAAGCAUGUCCUGCUAUAAACAAGCAAAGCAAGCAGCUGGUCCUCAUUUGAAAAGAUGUUACAUCAAUUUCAAAAGAAAUCUGCAGAUCUUCUUAAUGCAAAUAUUUUUGGGAAAACAAAAAGCAGCUGUUUAUGUUGCUUUAUACCUAUUAGCAGGAAAACACAAUCCAGGAUGCUUGUAUUUCUUCUUGUAAGAAAAACAUCCUCUUGGCAUCAACAUUCAUUCGGAUCUCAAAUUGUUUAAAAUAUACUAGGCUGCAUCAAUCUGCUUUUGCUCUGUCUUCAGCAGGCAGCUAGAAACCUUUUUUGUUCAUUAACUGUAAGACCUAAAAGCAAAACAGUCACCGAGGAGUUUGCACGAGUUCUGUAACAAAAGUUGUGACAUUUAGAAUAUGUGUUUUCAAGUUUAUCUGCUCUGUCCUCCCAGACCCUGCUGCAAGGAAAAUGUGCACGUUAGAUGUGUGCAACCCUGUAAGAGGAAGGAAUAAUCUACUGAGUAAUGAAGGCGGCCUUUUCUUAAUUACUGCUGGUAGGGACCUCUGAAGGAAUGUAAGGACUGAAGGAUGUGGG
ensembl:lncRNA